ensembl:lncRNA
GAGUGGUCGAUCAACAAAGAUCACUCUAAGAGCAAGAUGUGUAAUAGUCUAUGAGGUCACUCAGGGUAGGAACCCAGGGUAACUUCUAAGCAACAAAAAGCCUCUCUCACAUUGGUUAAUGUUAAUGUUCAGUCCACUAUCAGAAGAACACUGAACAACAAUGGUGUGCAAGAAGAAAAUUACUGCUCUCCAAACAAACUAUGAUGAUGAUGAUGAUGAUGAUAUCCAAGAACUGCUGGAUAUGGCAUCAUUCCUAGAUCAAAGAUUCAAGACAAGCUACAUUGCUGUUGAUAAACUUCUAAACAUCAAGGCCAGGGUGAUGUCUGAUAUGAAAGAGAUUUUAUACAAGGUGAGUUGUUGUUGUUUGGGUAAUUGAGUGUGACAGUCAUUCCUUAAUACUAGAUAAACAGUCUUUUAUAUUAUCUGUUUUAUGCAUCCUCAUAGAAUGCAAUGAAUUCUGAGAGCACUACAGGCAGGAAGGAUGUAGACACAGAUCUACCUUCAUUAGCAAAAAAAUAAAAAAGUCUUUGGGAAGCUUCUUCAAGACUGUCUCUGCAUAUUUGCAACUUGAAGAAGCCAUUGCCUCUGAGAUGAACCGCUACCUCCUUACUCCCUCCACUGACCGUGAGGAAGAUCCUCUGUUAUGGAGGAAACUACAUCAGAUAAACUUCUCAGGAUUGAGCAGGCUUGCACAAAAGUAUCUGUGUUUAGUACAGGAGGAAAUGUGGUGACAUGUCAGCAUUCAUGCUUGAAGCCAGAAAUGUUCAGUUUGGGUUGUUUUUUGUUUUGGUGGUUUGAUUAAUCGUAUUCUUAUUUAUUUUGAAAUCGUGAUUAAAAUCGAAAUUGCAAUACCAGUCAAAAAAUUGUGAUAGUAUUUUUUUGUCCAUAUUGCACAGCCCUAUUCCCCAUCGAAGGCUUGUGAGAGCAUGGUGCCCAGCCCAGUCUCAGAUGCGUCAGUGUGGACGGUGAGAAACAAGUCAAAGUCUGUGUUCCUGAGAACUAGGGAGCUGGGUCACGGGGGAACCUGGAGUCUAUCCCAGGAAGCAUCAGGCACAAGGCAGGGUACACCCUGGACAGGGUGCCAGUCCAUCGCAGGGCACAAUCACAUACACACUCACACACCCAUUCAUACACUAGAGACACUUUAGACACGCCAAUCAGCCUACCAUGCAUGUCUUUGGACUGGGGGAGGAAACCGGAGCACCCAGAAGAAACCCCCACAGCACAGAGAGAACAUACAAACUCCGCACACACGGCCCCGGCGGGAAUCCAAACCCGGACCCUGGAGGUGUGAGGCGAACGUUCUAACCACUAAGCCACCGUGUGCCGUUAUGGUUACAUUUAUAUAGCACUUUUCUAGAAACUCAAAGCAUUUUACAUAGUGUGGGGGGUGGGGGUCUCCUCAACCAUCACUAGUGUGUAGCAUCCACCUGGAUGAUGCGAUGGCAGCCAUAGUAUAUGCAAAUAUUUGUGUAAUGCUGAGCACAGCUGUCUUCAGACUGUUGCUGGCCCAAAUUUAGCCUAUUACCCAAAAACACUUAAAAUUCAACAUAGAAGCAAAUACUCACAUCUCCGAACCCAGUUGGAGAUAGGAAAAAAGACACCAGCCGUGAGUGAGAAGAAGCAGGGGUCCAGAUUUAUUGGUUCCGUUCCACCACACGAGAUCCACACUGAUGAGAAUUCUCAGAAGUGAUCUGACACCCGGAGCUCAAGCUCCAGUAUUUAUGUCACGAGUUCCCCUUUAUACAGCAUGCUGUGGAGCAUGUGAGCAUGCGUGCACGAGCAGGUGUGCGAGCACCUGCUUUUCCCUUGUGGACAAUCGUGACAUUUCUACACGUGCAUUUGUUUAUGUUUCUGUUAUGUCUCCUCCCCGUUCUGUCAUUGGCUAUUGUUUCAUGUGUGUCUGAAUCGUCCUCAGCCGUCAGCCAUUACGAGGCUGAUUGUCUCCACAUAUAUACCGCACGCCUCCCAGCACACAACGUGGAAUGUUGAAUGAGUUAGAUAGUCGAUUAGUUUAGAGUUCUUACGAUAGAUAACCACAGUCUCAGUCCAUAGUUUCACGAUUCGAUUCAUAGUGUUAGUCUUAGUCUUAGUCUUAGUUCAUAGUUCAUGUUAUGUUUAGUUUUGUUUGUUAAGUUCACGCUGGUUUCUCCGCUACCAGUCCCUCGCUAUUGUUUCUGUUUCAUGUUUGGUAUUUCGACCCUGUAUCCUGAGACCUCGACGUUGAUUCCUGCCUUGCCUUGUUUAUGCCUGUUUGCCGAUCGCCUGAACCUUGCAUGUUACUGGAUUAUGUUUUUGGAUCACGUUUUGGUUUUGUCUGCCUGUCUCUGUUUAAAUAAAACUGUUGUUCAACCUUCACUUGCAUCCUACCUUAUCUCCGUUGCGUCACGCAACGUGACAAUUUAUACUGUAUUUACACAGUAGAUAACCAAUAUAUUUCAGAAAGACUAUGAUAUGAAUACCAAUAGGGUUAAAAAAAGAGCUUAUCUACAUUACCAUCAUGUUUUGAAAGAGUCUUAUCAAAUUUACCAUUAUGUUUUGAAAGAGGACUUUCCAGGUACCAUUAUGUUUUGAAAGAGGACUUUCUGGAUACCAUUAGGUUCGAAAAUGGGAGACAGACAAAACAAUUUAGAGAGACCUUGGUCUCACUAUUGUCUCGCGUGGGCAGCUUGACUCAGCUACCCUUAUAAAUGGCUCUUCCCGGUUUUCUCUUAAAAUUAAGGCCUUCCUUGCGAGACAAGAAUCUUCACCAUCUGAAUUAUGAGUGCCCGUCGUCAUUUCUUCUUCUCUCCUUUACUGGAUUUGGAUCUGAACACUCACUAUCACCUCGCGCAUUUCACUGCUGACAUCAUGGUGCUACUUAACGUUCUUCGCAGCACCCCCUCUGGAAAUGGAAAUGCGGGGUCCCCCCCCC